UCUCAUCUUUCCAAAGCAGAACGCCCUCUUCUGGAGAGAGAGAGAAAGAGAGAGAAAGAGAAGUUGAACUCUCUCUUGAACGUGGUCUUGCUCGAUUAAAAAUUAGCCCGUUCGCGGACUUUGAUAAACUCGGAUCGUAUGUCACAGUCGGUGAAACGAUAUCUGCACAUAGUGGAAUACGAAAGGUCUAUAAAUAGGAGGAACGUGGGAUUCGGAUCUGAAGAUUUGGAGAGACGUGUCGAGCGCCCUCUAGUCGAGUUCGUACUCGGUGCUGCGCGACAGGAGAUGCAAAGGCUUCACGCCUAAGAGGGCCUGUCGUCGAUCUAUAAGGACGGUAUUUGACCACGAUGCCACGUAAGCCACGACCGCGGCCCCUGUCCUCGAGGAUUUGCCGCGAAAACCCUUCUCGGUUUCGAAGGUGAUCAGUCACCUCAGAUCCACGGGGCAAACAAACUUAAGCUUGACCGUGGGGGCCGAAGGUGACGAGGAUCGCAAACGAUGUGUCGAAGCUUUGACGAAUUCGAUCCGGAAACAGGAUAUCGUUGGUCAGGAUUCAUGUAAGAAGAACAAAGUUUCUACUGGCUGAUUUUGACUCGAAUACAAAUCAAGAUCGGGACUCUUAAAUCUCCGAAGAAUGGGAACGAGAAUUUCUUUCGGACCGCCUCAAAGUGUAGAGGUAAGCAUGGUACAAGGUGGCGCCACCUUGGCGGCAGUGGCCAACUUAACAACCGUGUAAAAAGCGACGAAAUCGAGAGUGUCGGUGGGCCUGGCGAAGAGACACGAUCAAAGAGGAAAGAGGGAACAGCCUAUAAAACAAUUGACGCUCCCGCGGUAUCAACGAGUAUCCGUUAAACCUGUUUUCUACUUCUCCUAACCCAUCGAAUCCACUUUGAUCAAGUUGCCUUCAGAACUGAAUGAAAUAACCUUCUUUUGCUCGCGACAUCUCUCUCUCUCUCUCUCUCUCGGAAAUUAAUAAAAUAAAGCGAGACAAAGUGAAACGAGGAGAAAUGGAAAAUACGCUUAUUGGACGAAAUAACAGGGAUAAAGGUAACCGCAAUGGCGUGUCGUUACAAAGGAUCGAGACGAAUCUCAUAAACUCGGCUCGUUGCGAUCUCUCCGGUGAUUCAGAGUGGCGAACACAAUCGCGUGGAGCAAUUUUUGCAGUAGAUUUGACGAUUCCCAUCCCUCUUCCGCGCUGGCGCGUCCUUAUUCUUCUAAAUUGUUCCCAUUCGAGAACGAGCUCGUCCCUGAAACGCUCGUUCGCGCUUAUAAAUCUCAGCCUCGAGCGGUGACGUUCAGGAGGAGUGAGAGGCGGGCGUAAGUACGAAUAAGAGAAGCGAGAAAGAGAGGAGAUAAGUAGAUACAAAUAUAAGAGCAAGAGAGAGACGUGAAUAGAUGUGAAUGAAAGAGCGAGAGAGAGAGAGAAGAUAUAAGAAGGGACGGAGCAUGAAUGGAGAAGAAGUACGUGUAAGCAAAAAUGGAAGGAGAGAAAAAAUAUAAAU